CUGCAAGGUAGCAGAUAAUCAUUAAGUAAUAACUUAGUAAUAAGUAGGUCUUUCCCACCAAAAUGUCGUUCAAUAAAAAGAAUCGACAAAGGGAAAUCAUGGCAGUUGCCCGUGAAUCUUGGCGAAACAAAGUAUGUUUGGCCAUAGUAGCCGAAGCUAGGCAAAAGUUGCCUUUACUUCUCAAGAAGGGACUCCAGAGAUUUUCAUUGAGUGAUUUAAAAAGAGUAAUUGACAUAGUAUUUUUAUAUGUGAAAAAUAUUUUAAAAAAAUUAAAAAGAUAAUAAUAAAAUAAAUCUUGAUAUAAGGUUCCAGACACUACAACACAGUUAAAAUUUUUCUAACCGGAGAAAUCAAUUACGCAUCUGGCAUCGGUACUUUCAGCAGGUCUAAAAACAAUACUGAAAAAACCACAAUUAAAAGAAGAUGCCUUGCCUACUCUUCAUUUAGGGAGAGCUACAAUUGAAAAAGAAAGAAAACUGCAUUUGAAAAGAAAUUUAUCUGCUGAAGUAAAUGGUAAAAUACAAAACUAUAAAAAGAGGAAAAUCGAUGCUGAACUUAACGAAUUGGACAUUGAGAAAACGAAAUAACUGUCUGUUAUUCCUGACGAUAAAAAAGAUUUACAAGAUGGUCCUUCUAACAGUGAUUUAAUUUCAUCGCCGAUUCAAAAUAAUGAAACAAAUAAUUUACUUUUGAAAAACACUAUAGAAUCAUCUGCCAAUGAGACGACCUUAUUUCAAGAAAUAUCCGAAAAUGAAAUUCGAAUGCCACCUUCAUGGAUUCGUUUAAAUAUUUCAUGGGGAAAUGAACACGAUGUUACUUUUGUCAAACUAAUUUGGGCUAAAAGGCAAAAAUGGAUUUCUAGACAGUACUGUUCAUAAAAAAUUAACAAUUGAUGAAAAUUUGGUUAUUAACAUUAGUAUUAAUGGCAGGUUUGUUAACAAAACAGAUCUGGGGAUAAGUUUUGAAAAAAUUGAAACUUUAUAAAACUUACAAGAAAUUUUAGAAACCCUUGAAAAAAGUGAGAUUUGUUUUGGUAAUAUACUAGUAUUAUUAUGAAUGAGCAAAAUAGUUCUUUAUUGCGUACUUUUUGCUAUGUAGAUGGAAGUGAAUCUUUAAGGAAUAACCAUUGUCCAAUUCUUCUAUCUACACAAACCAAAUAUAAUAAUCGACAGUGUAAUUUCUGUAAGAAUAUAAAUCAAGUCCUCAAUAAAAAAAUUAUUCGUUUAAAACAUAAAUAAUAAAAGAAAUUACAUUCAAUUAAACAAAAUUAGUCCCAUAAAACGAGAAAAAUUAUGUCGAAAAGCAAGAAACUCUGGAAGAUCAAAAGAAAAAGCUAAAGAGAAAAUUCGACCGUUAAAAUUGACUCUUCUUCAUUGCCAAAAUAGAAUAUGUAAAUUAUCUGAAACAUCAGUAACCGAAAUUUUGGCUAAAAAUCCAAACAUAAGCGAAAAUGAACAUACAGUAAUAAAAGAGAUUUUUAAAUCUGCCAAGUGUAAAUCUCUUAAUGGACGAAGAUACUCCGAUGAAUGGCUGCUGCUUUGUAUUUUGCUCCAUAUGAAGUCUCCAGCAACUUACCGGUUGUUACUAGAGAACAAAAUUCUGCCUGUACCAUCGGUUCGGAUUAUUAGAAGACGGUGGAAGGCCUAAUAGAAAACUUUGGACAGAAAUGGGUUGCAGUGGAAAAUUGGAUGGCACGUUCAAAUUUUUUUUCAACAUCCUGUUGAAGAAGGAAAAAAAGUCUAUUUUUUUAUACACCUCAUAUAAUGAAGACUUAGAAAUCGCUCAGCUCAGCUAUUUAAACUGUACUAUGACUAGCGAAUUUUAGAAGCACUUAUCUCAAAGUGUUGCAAACUUCAGAGGAAUUAAAAAUUUAUAAAAUAUUAAAACGGAAUAGACAGGAAUUGAACUUACCGAGUAUCACACAGUAUUUCGGAAUUCACAAAAAUUCAAAAGUUAAAGAAAUAUUAAAACGGAAUUGAUUGGAAUUCACUUUCAAGAAAUCUUCGCCUCAAAAAGGAAUACAUAGGAAUUGGACAGAAACGGAAUUAAAAAAAAUUGAUAAUUUAACAUUUUCUGUAAAAAGUUAAAAAUGUUCAAUUCUUCUCAAUUCCUUACUUCUUACUGGGGUUAUUCGGCAAAUAAAUGUCAAAAUCUUUACAUUCAAAUAUACACAAUAAUUAUUUGUUUGUACGAUAUAUUAUUUUGUGUGCUAACAAUAGCAUAAAAACUCUUUUAUUCUCAAGAUUUGUAAAAUUCAUCGAAAAUCGUAGUGAUUAAGAAAC